GAGCAAAACAGCUAUGGGUCAAGUAUGACAUCUACAGAAGUCUUAUUGUAAGGGCGAGUUUUAUAAAAAAAGAACUGGCCGUCCCAUAUGAAAAGAUUAUAUUAGAAUUGAAUGAAGCUUUGUUUAUAUAUUGAUAAUGACAGUACAAGGGGACGGGGUCUUGACUAAUUGCGUGCCAGCAGUCGCGGUAAUACGUAAGAGACUAGUGUUAUUCAUCUUAAUUAGGUUUAAAGGGUACCCAGACGGUCAAUAUAGCUUAUAAAAUGUUAGUACUUGACUAGAGUUUUAUGUAAGAGGGCAGUACUUGAGGAGGAGAGAUGAAAUUUCGUGAUACCAAAGGGACUCUGUAAAGGCGAAGGCAGCCCUCUAUGUAAAAACUGACGUUUUUAGGACGAAGGCACAGAGAACAAACAGGAUUAGAUACCCAAGUAGUCUUUGCAGUAAAUGAUGAAUGCCAUAGGUUAGAUGGGUGGGUAGUCUAGUUGAGUUAGUUUAGCAAACUAAUGAUCUAGACGAGCCCACCAUAUAUUUGGUCUAUAAAUGAAAGUGUAAGCAUUUCACCUCAAGAGUAAUGUGGCAACGCAGGGAACUGAAAUCACUAGACCGUUUCUGACACCAGUAGUGAAGUAUGUUAUUU
rnacentral:rRNA from 1 species